rnacentral:lncRNA from 1 species
AACCGAGUCAAAACAAUUGAGUCAACCAGCCAUUAGGUCGCAAAAGAAUGCUAGGAGCUGAACCUAAGAAGCUAGAGGUUUUUAAAACUAGAAUUGAAAUGGACGCAUUACGCACAGUGGUCUUUUGCUGGCCUCCAUAGCUAAAGCUCCAUGAGUAGCCAAAAAAGCAGCAGCAGUGCCAAAACAAAUCGCAAGGAUGCGAGCUGAAAGAGGGCUUGUGAAGGAUAGAGCUUAAAAAAACCAGAAGAAACGUGUGAUGACAACAUGCAAACAACCUUUUACCAUUCCAAGGAUGCAUUGUCAAGGUUUGGAGAAGCUCAAGAAACAUCGAGCUCUUGAUCCUUCUAUGAUUCCAUUCGUUUUAGAAGUGCCUUGUGAAAGCUCUCUUGGAUAUUUCAGCAUUUACAUCAACCAGUGGAAUAAUAACUAAAUC